AGGUGGAAACCCUGAAGGGAGAGCGGGCCGUCACACAGCACCUGCUUCAGGAGAGCGAGCGGAUGGAGGCCAGCGUCAGCCAGUGGGUCAAGGAGCAGAAGCAAGUGAAUGAGAAGCUGGGCCACAAGAUCCAGGACCAGAUCAAACAACUGGCUCAGCUGACUGGCGAGAGAGACCACCUCCAGGGAGUGACGGAAAGACUCCAGCAGGAGAAUAAGCGGCUGAGAAGCCAAGUGGAGGAGCUG